UAGGGUUAGAGGACACAGGGGUUGGGCCCUUGGAGCUAGGGUUAGGGCCCCGAGGGUUCGGCCCCUGGAACUAGGG